CUUCUCACAACACACAGUUGGUUUCCUCCAGAGGAAGUGAUCCAAGAGGAAGCCAGCAACACGGAAGCCAUAAUGUACUUUAUGACCUAACUUUGUGACAUGCCAUCACCUCUGCUGUGUUCCAUUGGUUACUCAGAACAACCCUGAUAUGAUACAAUAGAGGACUAGACAAGAGCAUCAAUCCAAGAAUUUAGGGCUCGUGGGCACCAUCUUGGAGACAAGCUAGCACACUUGUAAAGCUAGAAGCUGAACCCAGGAGCACCAUCAGAAGCUGUAGAUUCUGAGCACUCUUUGGGAAAGGAUGCCCAACUUUUAAAAGGAAGACCCAAACAAACCGGUCCACAGAAACAGAGUGCUGCUGUGGUGCCAUGCUCCAGACACCUGCCAAUAGUCCUCUGCAACUCGCCAUCCUUGCAUCAGCAUCUGGGACAUGUCAACAGGUUUUCUUCAUUAAGCACUGUGCUGUCUGUCCAUCACGCAGCAAAGCAUCAGCGCAUCCUACCACCAGAUGGCGCUAGACCCACUUGUGGAGGCUCUGGGGGCGAUAUCAGCGUGGGACUAGAAGCUGAUGAAAAACGCCCAGCAAGAUGCUGCUGUUGUUCAUGCUGAAGGAAUGUGUCUUCUGCAGUAGGGCGGCAUCUCCUGGGCAAGCUUCUGGUGUUUUUCUGUGAUGCAGCUGCUCUCUCUAGUCCUGGGACAUGGGCUAUCAGCCUUUCACUCCGCCUUUCCCUGUUAUCUGUUCUCUGGGAGUUAAUGCUCUUCUCCAUGCUUCACUGAGGAGCCACGAUCUGGUUUCAUGGGUUUCACGCUUUUCUCAUAAGUAUGAAUUAUUGUAACCCCAAACAGAGGCACAUUUGAUCCCUUUCACAGGUCAUUUCUCUCUUAGCCACUUCGUGUUUUCCAGAAGACAUGUCCUGGAGUGGCUACAGGUCUCUGUGCAGAACUGCACUGUAGACAGAUCAUGUGCACCCUACUUCAAUGUGGAAAAACCUCCCUGCUACAGAAAUGCGCACCCAAAGCCAUCCAUUCAAUCCCCUCCAUCAAUUAGAUAAUAACAUACUCCCCCUUCUCAUUAAAUCAGAAAAUUCUUGAAAGCAAGUCUAUUAUUUCAUCUCGUAUCCCUACAGUCCCAGCCUUUGGAGAAGGUUGAUGCUUACGUUGUAAGAACAUUAGAAAAUUUGCUUAGAAAAUCUACUGCACAGUAGUGUUGCUUUUUUUAAAAAAUUUUUAUUUUUAGAGACGGGCUCACUCUGUUACCCAGGUUGGAGUGCAGUGGCAUGACCACAGCUCACUGCAGCCUCAACCUCCUGGGCUCAAGUGAUCCUCCUGCCUCAGCCUCCCAAGUAGCUGGGACUACAGGCGGGCACCACCACCCCUGGAUAAUUUGGCUCAGGUGUCCAGGCUGGGACUCAAGCAAUCCUCCUGCCUCAGUCUCCCAAAGUCCUGGGAUUAUAGGCAUAAGCCACCACAGUCAGCCUCUGUGGUCUUCAUGUUGUCCCCAGAGAGAGUUUUGAGUGGCUGAUAAGGGCGGUGGGAGAAUGGAUUUUUCUCUAAUCUCUAUUUCAAGAGCAAUAGUACUUCUGUCCUAACCACCCCUCCCCCAGUCACAUAAUUUAUUAUAUGGUCCCAUUUUAGCCCGGCUUCUAAAGUGUUUAAAGCCAAAUUUAUAAUCCCCGUAUAGCAGCUGUAUGGGAUCUCAUCACAAGUAUCUUGGGAAUAAAAGCCUGAAGGGCUUCAUCAUAUUUUUCCCAGCUUCAGUAUCCUUUUGUCCUGUCUUCCACACCUUCAUCAUUGUUGUUUUGUCUUCUCUCUCCAACUUUUACAUGUAUCUUGGGUACAUUUUGUCUCCUAAAAACAGAUUCUCACAUAAACUUUAAUGGUUGG